CAAAUUCCCGAAACCCUCGCCGACAAAGACCAGGGGAGGUUGCUAGAUAGCCAUCGACGGGAUCGCAGCUCUCCGAAACCCAAGUCUUAAUACCACUUUAGCUCCUACGAAACCCUCGAGGAUAAAGGAGUUGGCGACGUGCGUUUGCGGGGCGAAGGCAUCUACAGAAAACUCGGCAUCAGAAGUUCCUUAUAAAAGUUCCCGUCUCCAAGAAGCACAAUGGUCUCUUCUACCUUCUUCAUCAUGAAUGGCAUGAAGAACCCUCCGCUUAUCACCUAUUCAGAAGAGCUUCGAGAUGGCGAGCCAAUGAUUUCCUCAUCAAAUUGCCUUCCUGUCAAAGCCUUAAAAUACGAACCUGCAGGCCAUGCAUUUCAUUCGGCCGCACUUAAACUUCUCGGAUACUAUGAAGAAGACGAAACAGACACAGAUGAACAGAGCGUAUUGUCCGAUGACCGAAAUCAAUCAUAUAUGCCGUCGUCAGAUUUCUACAGCAACAAAGCGAAAAAGAAGAAAUCUGGUUCCGGUGACAAGCAACAAGAUCAUUAUGCACUGUUAGGGUUAGGGCAUUUGCGUUUUCUAGCCACCGAGGAGCAGAUACGUAAAUGUUACCGCGAGACUGCCUUGAAAUAUCACCCCGAUAAGCAGGCUGCUCUUCUUCUGGCCGAAGAAACAGACGCCGCCAAACAAGCGAAGAAGGAUGAGAUCGAAAACCAUUUCAAAUCCGUUCAAGAAGCAUAUGAGAUUCUAAUAGAUCCUAUAAAGAGAAGGAUCUAUGACUCCACGGAUGAGUUCGAUGAUGAAAUUCCCACCGAAUGCGAACCACAGGACUUCUUCAAGGUAUUCGGCCUAGCAUUCUUGAGGAAUGCGAGGUGGUCUGUAAUUCAGCCUGUUCCCUCUUUAGGGGAAGAGAAAACUGUAAUGGCUGAAGUGGACAGCUUCUACAACUUCUGGUAUGGUUUUAAGAGUUGGAGAGAGUUCCCUCAUGCAGAUGAGUUCGAUCUGGAGCAGGCCGAGUCCCGUGAUCAUAAACGAUGGAUGGAGAGGCAGAAUGCGAAGCUUAGAGAGAAAGCGAAGAAAGAAGAAUAUGGACGUAUUCGGGCUCUGGUUGACAACGCAUAUAAGCGGGACCCUAGAAUUCUUCGGAGAAAGGAGGAGGAAAAGAUCGAAAAGCAAAGGAAAAAGGAGGCGAAGUUGCUGGCGAGGAAAUUGCAGGAGGAAGAGGCUGCGAGGGCUGCCGAAGAAGAAAGACGCUGGAAAGAAGAGGAGGAGAAAAGAGCAGCUGAAGCUGCUUUGAAUCAGAAGAAGCAGAAAGAGAAGGAGAAGAAGCUUCUAAGGAAGGAGAGGAAUCGGUUACGUGGUCUUUCUUCAACUUUGGUUUCCAAAUCUCUGCUUAAUCUUUCCGAAGAAAAUGUCGAAAGCUUAUGCUUGUCUCUAGAGAUGGAUCAGAUUCGAAAUCUGUGCGAUAGCUUGGAGCGGAAGGAAGGAGUUGAAAGAGCUCAUUUGUUAAAUAGCGCAUUGAGUAAAGCGAAUGCCGAUGCCGCACAGCCAGAUCGAAAAUAUGAUCAAACUAAUGGCUCUUCAGUUCAUGAUGCUGGAGAAAUCAAGCCUGGAAGCAUAUUAUGCAGCGAGAAGAAGGAAAAACCAUGGGAUAAGGAGGAACUUGAGUUGCUGAGAAAGGGGGUGCAGAAAUACCCCAAGGGAACUUCGAGGAGGUGGGAGGUCAUUUCCGAAUACAUUGGAACUGGCAGAUCCGUCGAAGAGAUUCUGAAGGCGACGAAGACGGUUCUUCUGCAGAAACCAAACUCCGCGAAUUCAUUCGGUACUUUCCUGGAGAAGAGAAAGCCCGCUCCAUCAAUCUCAUCACCUCUUACGACUCGAUUAGAAUCCGAAGGGUUACCUGUCGAUGUAGCCGGAGAACCUUCAGCAAAGGAGACGAAUCUCGACGAGCCAGCCAGAGAAUCUCCUGUUUCUAAUGGAGCUUCUUCAGGUAUGGAGGAUACAUGGUCGUCAACGCAAGAAAGAGCUCUCAUACAAGCACUGAAAACAUUUCCGAAGGAGACCGGCCAGCGUUGGGAACGGGUCGCCACCGCAGUUCCGGGGAAGACAGUGAAUCAAUGCAAGAAGAAGUUUGCUUCGAUGAAGGAGAGCUUCAGAAGCAAGAAGGGCGCAGAUUGAUGGAGGAUAUAUAGGCAUGAAGAGCAAUGUUUUCUUUCAACUUGCAGCAACAGCAGCCACGAGUGACGAUGCCCCAAACAAAUAUUUGCUUCGUGUUUCCUUCGGGAGGCUAAAGGACUGAUGGAGCGAUACUGCCUAGAAGGUGAAAGGAAGAAGAAAAUUGUUAUUAAGAAGAAAAAAAUGGUUGCGUUGGAGGAUUAUGUAGGAUAUGAUUCCUUCCCAUGCACUAAACGGAGGAAUGUUCAAGGCGACCAAAAAUCUUCGGCUCAAUCUUCUGUUGCGGCACAUGACCCACAAAUCAAACGAACCGCACAAGAAGUUGUCGGUGCUCUGUUGUCGUAUUGUGAGAGUGACUCUUUGUUAUUAGGAACUCGUGUCUUAUUUGUUAGAUUUUGAUUUUUUCGAAAGUUUUUUUUUUGUUUUUUAUUUUUUUUUACAUUAUCUCUUUGUGCAAGACUGUCGAUGACCCGAC